CGCUCAGACGAGAUCAAACCACCGCGAGUUUUUGCCGUGUUCACAACAAAAUGAAAUAUUUUAUAUUAGUCACUUUAAUAGCAUUAAUUCACUGGACAAAUUGUUCUGAUAACGAUUACGGUGACGAUGCAGAUCUAUUCAGCUAUGACCCAAUCGAAGACAGAAUAGACAAUACGCCAAAGCCUAUUUACAAACUGAGCGAUGCACCGACUUUAUUCAAGAAGUUUGUAAAGGACUUUAAUAAAAAAUACAAGGAUGAUGAAGAUUACAAGAAACACUACAAUAAUUUCUUUGAAAACUUGAAGGAAAUUAACAGGAUAAACAGUGAUAAGGAGUACAGUUCGACGUCUGAUAUCAACAUAUUCACGGACUAUUCGCUCGAAGAGAGGCAAUCGUUACUAGGAGUCGCUUUUUAAAUUUCAAGGACACAGGACCAACGGAUACAGUUCAAAAAAUCUCGAAGAUAUUUCGUCCAGUUACAAAAUUAAAACCGAUUUCAAAAU